rnacentral:rRNA from 1 species
AUUGAACGCUGGCGGAAUGCUUUACACAUGCAAGUCGAACGGCAGCACGGACUUCGGUCUGGUGGCGAGUGGCGAACGGGUGAGUAAUACAUCGGAACGUGCCCAGUCGUGGGGGAUAACGUAGCGAAAGCUACGCUAAUACCGCGUACGAUCUAAGGAUGAAAGCGGGGGAUCGCAAGACCUCGCGCGAUUGGAGCGGCCGAUGGCAGAGUAGGUAGUUGGUGGGGUAAAGGCUCACCAAGCCGACGAUCUGUAGCUGGUCUGAGAGGACGACCGGCCACACUGUGACUGAGACACGGCCCAGACUCCUACGGGAGGCAGCAGUGGGGAAUUUUGGACAAUGGGCGCAAGCCUGAUCCAGCCAUUCCGCGUGCAGGAUGAAGGCCCUCGGGUUGUAAACUGCUUUUGUACGGAACGAAAAGGCUCUGGUUAAUACCUGGGGCUCAUGACGGUACCGUAAGAAUAAGCACCGGCUAACUACGUGCCAGCCGCCGCCGUAA